UACCAAGUUUGGAAAGUACAAUUACAUUCAUUUCUGUCUCAACCAUCCAUACAACCCCAAAUACAUCAAAAAGAUUGGAGUUCUAAAUACAUUCAACCCUAAUCGAACGACUAGUGCGAGUACAAUAUCAAAAUUUUCAAAAAACUAGACUAUGCUAGUCUGUACAAGUCUCACGCCCUCGCUCAUAUCCCCUAUAAGGAAAAUAAAUGGCAUGGAAUGAGUUAAAAGUUCAGCGAGGUUCGAAAUAGCAAGUGGACCAUUAUUUAAAAGUGCACGUAUCAAAGUAGCAAAGUAGCAAAGUAGCAAAAUCAAAAAAGUGAGCAAUAACAUUGCAAGUAGCAAAUCUCAAAAUGAGAAAUGUAAAAUUCUUUUUCUAAAAGAAACAAUAACACUACGAAUAACAAUCAAAGUAUAAGGAUACAGAUGGCUCUCAGGAACCAAAUUCCCGUUGCUUCACCAGAGCUUGAUCCAUUAUUAGUUGACACUCCGUCAACUUUCAAGUAAAGUAACCAAUCUAGUAGUGUUUCACUUCACACUAAUUCAUCCACCAUUCAACCCUCUUACCAGGCUCGAACACCAACUAAACACUAGUGGUAAUACUCGAGUAUUCCGAUUAGUCGAGGAGAUAACACUCCACUCGACAACACUAGAUACCCAUGGUUCGUUAUCUAAUCGACCAAGCCCUUGCUGGCUCGAUUCGAUUAACUAACCAGUGGGGUUUGCGUCCCCAAGAAGUCGAUGAGACAACAUCUCCAAUCGACAGAAUCAAGAUAAAAGUACGGAGACGGGAAUAAGAGGUACCUCCCACUCGUAUUGAGUAUGGUACAUGCUGCCGCUCAGCAAUUACAAGUCAAGUCCAAGUAUAUCAAGUCAAUUGCAACAAUAAACAAAUAUAUAUCAUAUUAGGGCAAGUGCGAUAAAGUGCACUCUUGUCCGAUCAAACAAAUUACGUAUCAUUAAAUCACAUUGGUCAAGUAUUAAAAACAAGUGUCCAAUUCAAUCAGGUAUUUGGAAACACUCACCAAAGGUCUAGUACCUCUCAAAAGUCACGUUCAGGUCCAACUCCUUGGUUGAAGUCCAAAUUUGCGAUAAAAUAUCAUUUACGAAUGUAAAACUCUCUAGAGUUCGAAAUAUAGGAGUUUCGCUUCAAAAAAAUCAAGUAAAUGCAACUCGUUUAAAUAGUAUUCAAGAUACUUAUUAAAGUUCAAAAAAUUCAUGCUCGCUUGUUUAGUUAUGAUCAAGAAGUGGUUUCGAUUUUAGAAGUUACACUUGGUAUCAAAGACCGGGAAAAAUUGUAUUUUGAAAGGGUCUGUCGCGCCCCCAUUUUUUGAAAAAUCGAAAAAAAGAGUCAUUUUGAAAUCAUAAAUGUGUAGUGUGUGUGAAAUAUGUGAAGUGUGUGAAUGUGAGAAAUAAAAGAAAAGGCCAUGGGACUUUUAAAUGCGACGGUUUGGCCAAAAUGAUAAUCUAAAAAUGUUUUUUAGAAAAGUAGGAGUCGCCACUUAGUAUUGAGUUAGGGUGUACCAAGUCACCCAAAAAGUGGUUUUUGAAAAAUAAAGUAAAAACCUUUUUAGAUGACUCAUAAUCUACGAAAAUCAAAGAGACGAGUUCGGGGGUCACAGUUGAAGAGAGGGAAGGCAAAGACAAUGUCUAAGGUACCCUCUCAACCUAGCCUAAGUUAGUUGCAUGAUUUAGUCAUGAUUUUCCUAAUUUCGAAUCAAAAGAUGUAUCGUAUUUGGAUGUAACUAAUAUGGAUGCAAUCCUAAAGCUAAUGAUGAAUCGAGUGGGACAAAUAUCUCUUAGAGGCUCGAUUGGACUAAAUCACAUGAGUUGUGAUAGCCAAGGACAAGCCCUCCAAGAAAUCACGAAUAAUGCUAAUGACGAAAGAAUGAGUGGAAUGAAAGUAUGCAAUGUGAAAACAUGAGUUUGUGUGAAGUGAAAGUAAUAAAAGACAACAAUGUGUAAGUGGAAGUGUGCAAAUGGGUGUGCAAGGUGAGGUAUGUAAAGUGAUAGUGUGAAGUGUAUGUGUGCUCAGUGGUAGUAUAUAAAGUGCAAGUGGAAGAGUGCAAAUGUGCAAAAUAAGAGUCAUGUGAAGUGAACAUGUGGAAAAAGUAAUAGUAUAUGAAGUGAGAGUGCAAAGUGAUAGUGAGUAAAUGAAUAGUGUAAGGGUGCAUGUGUGCAAGUGAUAAAAUAUAAAGUGCGAGUGGUAGAGUGAAAAUGUGCAAAAUAAGAGUUGUGUGAAGUGGUAGGGGGUAAACGAAAUGCAUGAACCCUAGAGGAAAUGCAAGCGAAAUAGGUACGGGGAGACCUUAAAUAGUGACUUUAAUUUGCCUUUUGGUUAGAAAAAGAAUGAGCGUGCUAAGGCUAUAUGUAGCCACACUCGUCUGUUCCCCUUACCAGAAGGGUGACUCCCUAACCUAAUCAAGCAAAUGACCCUAAUAACUAGAAUGAAAUGGAAAAAACCAAAAAAUUGUGUUCAAAUACAGGAAAAGGAUAAAGGUUCAUGCAAAGAUGUAAAAAUACUAAAUAAAUGAAAAUGUAAUGAAGGCAUGCGAGUAUGUACUAGCGACAAGGGGACGGUUCUAUUGGGUCUAGCAUUGGACUAACCCUUUAUCUAUGAGUAUUCACUAGCAUUAGACUAGUGAGAAAUCGGAAAAGGAGGGUCUCGACUAGCGUUGGACUAGUGAGAAAAUGAGAAAAGGUACCACAACUAGCGUUGGACUAGUGUGAUGACGUCAUUUAUUUAUUUAGAAUCACAUAAAAACAUAAUAAAGCAGGUAAACACCUAAAUCACAUAUAGCACAUAGCACAUGAGCAUAAUAUCUAGAUGCAAGACCCUAAGAAAGCGGUAACACAUAGCACGUAAGCAUGCAAAUCACACAACACUCAAUAAAGCAAAUAAAGCCCUAACUAUUACAUUUGGGGAGCCUUACUACAAUCUAAGGGGGAAUGAAUUAAAUAAAAUGAUAUAAUAACCUAACUAUUACAAUUGUGGCAUUUAAUUGCCUUCUCAAAUAAUUACAAAUUAAAUUAAAAUAAAUGAACUAAAUUAAAACAAAUAAAAUGGCUAAAUAAAAUAAGUAAAAUAAAAAAAUUUUCAAAAGCAUGCAAUUACUCACAGAAAGUCACAUAAUUACACAUAGGGUCAAAUAAAGUCAAAAUAAGGGAUAGAAUGUACCUCCCUGGAGUUGGGGCCCAAAAUGAAAGAAAUUUACUUAUUUACCCUCCAAAAAUAAAGAAAGAGUCAAGGCAUCACUUUAAUUAACAAAUAAUCAUGAAAUUGAAUCAAUUAAAUCAUAUAAACAACCUACAUUCAAGAAAUUAAAGCAAGCGAGGACUUAAUUGCAAGAAUUAACAAUGUUUUGGGGGUCCAAUUACAAUUAUCACAAAGACUUGGGGUCAAAAUUAAAGAAAAAUAAAGUUUAGGGACCUAUUUACAAUUAAAUUAAGGGCCUAAUUGAAAGAAGCCUAAAGUUUUAAGGUCGUAGCAUAAUUAAGGAAAAGUCCGAGGACUGAUUUGUAACUUUGGUUUCCAGAUUCUUGGUAAGCCAAGCCAUUGGGCCAUUUUAUUCAUUUCUGGGCCAAAUCCCCUCUUAGCCCAACCGAAAAUCUUAAGAACACAAGCAAGCCAGCCUAUCUUUUUUACCCAAACAAGCCUGACGAAGAAGAGUGGGCUUCAACUCCCAAGCCCAUGCUAAAAUCCAUAAAAAUAAACCAAGACCCACUUCCUAAAACCCAACAAAAAGUGUUGGAUUUUAUCUUCCUAAACCCAAGUCUGAAACCCAAAUUAAACCCACUUUUACAAACCCAAACAAAUGUUAUUACCCACAACCUAAACCAUAAUCCUAAACCCAACAAGAUUAGCCAAUCAACUAAAAAUUAUUAAGACACAAUUAUGAUCUAAAUCCCAGAAUUAAACUACCCAACAAAGUCACAUGAAAUAUGCAAACAGAGGAUUAAACUUAAAAGGACAAAAUUAGUUUAAUUUUUCCAGAUUUUGGGCCACAAUGAAAUUAGGCAGAAAUGAAAGGGUUGGAAUAAAAAUUUCAGAAAAAAAUCCAUGCAUCUUCUUCGUAGCCUUCUGCAACUUUCGCAGACCCAACAAUAAACAUACCAACAUGGUUGCCAACGGUUUAGUUCAAUUUCAGCUCUAGCCACCCUCGAAAGGAAAUAAAACUCACGCAAACUCCUUUUCAUAUAAUCUCAUGACAUAAUUCGAAUUCAUGCCAAGGAACACCAAGCAAAAGAAAAACAGAACAGAAGCCAAACAAGCGGAUGCCAAACAAACUAUCCGAAUCAACUAUUUUGACAAGCAUGGACUGGCCGAACGUAUGCAAACAGAAAUCAACUCAUCAUUUCAAACCAAACUCUCAAUUUGGGUAUUUCAUCGAACAUCAACUGGGCAUCAAAAAAUUUCACUGAUUUUUGCUCAAUCGAUAUUAUAAUUAGCCUAAAAAUUAUCAGAAAUCCACAGAAAUUUAGCCCAAAUAGACACAGAAAAUAUGUACGAUCAAAGGCUAUGAACAAUUGACAUGAAAAUUGAAAUACCAACUUCACAAAAGAUAUAUUUUGACAGAAGAGUGAAAUGUAAAUGAAGAGGCUACCUUACUGUGGCCUCUCACGGUGAAGCCUUGCAAGUAAUGAUGGCCGAUUCCAGUGGUGGCAGUUUCGGCUCUUCCUCCGCCGUUUUCUUUGCUCCCUGAAAAACUGCCCCUCCAUUUCCAGAUCUUCCCCCUUUCUUGCUUUGCUUUUUCUGCUCUGUUUUCUUUUCUUCUGUUUUUAACUUCAACUCCUUGCUCUGUUUUCUUAUUAGCCGACUCAAAUUGACAGGCUUGGAGUUUGAAGGAAGCUUUGGAUUUAAUAGCGGUUUUCCCAACAGAAUUUUUUCAUCUUCGGUGUCGGCGUCGGUGUCAAGGGGUUGAAGAAUCAAUAUUGGGGGAAUGAACGGUCAUCGUCUUCCUCAUCUCUAUUUUUUCUCACCCGAAACUUCCCCAAGUUUCCAGAUUUCCUUUGCCGUUUCCCCCCCCCCAGAUUUUCCAAUUUCCCUCAGAUGUUUUUCCCCUCUCUUCGCCCUCUACUCUCUCCCUUGUUUUCCUUUUUCGUUUCUUUUUCCAGUCUUCAAUCUGUUUGCCACCCCUAUUGCCUUGCCUUCUGU
rnacentral:lncRNA from 1 species